CACAAUCAGUUCCCGUUCAAAUCCUGAAACGUGAAUUAACAUCCCAGCUGCCCUCGUCUUGGUUCCAAGACCUCCCUGUGAUCUCUAGUAGGAGUUCAACAGUAUGCAUUAAUGCAAGCGUGCCUACAACUUAACAGAAGCCGUCUCUACCUCAUCAAUUCUUCUCAUAAUCAGGCAGAAACCAACGUAGCGCCCUUCCAACAUGGUUAUGUUCUGGAAAGUAACCUGUGCUUUGGCAAUGUCUGGGUUUACGCUCGUCCGUGGAGUACCACUACAGGUUACACACAAACCCUCCAUGGACUCGACAACCCCAACCCCGGCACCAGGCACUUCUAUAGAUCAGGCUAGUCUGGAUAUGAACAAAAUUUGCCAGGACAACGACAAAACGACGGUCUACGAAAAGGCUUUACAGAUGUGCAUAUCCUGUUUUUCUUGUGACCCCGAAUCUAAGGACGACCACUGUGUUACAUGCCGAGAUUUCAGGAGAAACCAAUCAGCGCCCGGGAAAUUCCAGUUGAAGCUGUAUGUGACGAAUAUGGAUCAGUUUCUUAUAUCAUACGUGACAGAUAUAAUCGCUUCUACGGGACGUACUAGAACUGUUACCGUUGAUAACGGCCGCGGUUGAUGCAUUUGAAAAAGAAGCGAAAUUUAGGGAUCAUUCCUGGCAAACCAUGGAGGAAGGAACACAGCAAACCAACCACCUCUCCCGGACCUGUCACCCUCACUGUUGCGUACGGUGGGGCAGACGGGGAUGAUACAGACGGUCACGGAGGCAGUGACACCGAUAUCGACGCAGGAGGAACGCUUCAGGACGUCAAUAUAGGAAGUACAGUUCCACCCCAAGGUCCUCCACAAAGUGACUUGGAAAACCCACAGGCCCAAAAUGGUUCACCAGGAUUAGGUGUGCCACUGAUAACUGCCAUUGUCGUCGUAGUCGUUGCAAUUCCUAGUUGUAUGCUCGGGGCAUUCGUCUUCCAGAGGAGACAUGCCCCAUUUCAGCGUUUGCCUGUGCAGGAGACGAACCCACCUGAUCCAACCACCCCAUUUACAUGUACCAGUGGGGAUCUGACGGGCUUUAUACCGCCGAAUCAUGAAUUCUCAGAGAGUGAGGCCAGCCUUUAGGGAAUCAACAACCAAAGCUCUGAUUUUUUCAGUUUCCUUUUCUGUGUAGGGCCAAUACGUACUUCCCGUUGCGUUUCUAAAGGUGAAAAAGAUGGGAAAUAUAAAAGCAAAACAGUAAAAAAUGUUCACUGAGCCAGCUAGUAUUUGCGUUUUCUUGCAAAAUGAAGGGCUUCCGAGACAACCUCAACUCCAUUGGCUGCGUGCACGUUCCUUCACUUUGAUCCCCAAAAACAUGGCGUGGCAAGAUCAUACCCGGAGAACGAGGUUGCGUCUGAGGUUGUUAGGGAUGGCGCUAUUUGUUCUCGCUUUUAACCUUGCACUUCUGAAAUACCGAAAUGACUUAUUGGUUCCUAACUACGCAAGAAGAAAUAAGUAUCUGAAGAUCUACAGGGUUGGGAGUUUUACGUUAAAAACACUAAAAAAUAUUAAACAAAAAAAUGGCUAUUUCCAAUUCAGAAUCUGCCCAGCGAUAAAUACGUGAUUGCGUACCGAGGGAUGAGGUCCCCUUGGAUAUUGACCCAAUUGAAGGGGAAACUUUAUGAACAGGUACCGUCACAUGGUUGGGCUUGGCCUACAACAAGUAGUUGUAGGCCAAUUUCCCUGUCGCAGAGAGGAGAUUUACAUUUUCUUUUUACAGGAGAAUAUUAUAGAGUACAUGUACUAAGUGGAUAUGUCACAUAUGAGCGUGCAUUAAUCUCCAUUCUAAAGUCUUGAUGAUGGAGAUCAAUGUUAGUGCAAGAACUAGUGCGUAAACCAACACAGAAUACGCACGUGUGCAUGUAUAGAGGGGCUCGUGGGGUACUGGAACAAUGGAAGAUACCCCACAAGGCCAGUUUUGAGUACUAAAAUGGUACCCCACAAGAUUUUCACAUAACAGAUAUUUCAAAUUUACUCAAAAAAGGAGGAAUUUUCGAGUGUCAUUCAUCGUAACAAAAUGAAGUAUUUUAAAUAGGGGACGUUCAGUCGAAUUUCCAUGGUAGGAAAGUGAAUAUUGUUCGAAUGAGAGUGAUUUGAAAUUUUUUGCGUGUUGUGUGGAAGUGGAAGUUUGUUCACGAGAACAAAGAAAAUACCCACAAGUAUAGCUGUGUAAGAGAGUUUUUUCUGCAUUCAGUUAAGUCUUCUAAAAAAG